ensembl:lncRNA
CCUGGCUUCCUGUGGAUGAAGGUGGAGAACUCUCAGUUCCUCCAGUGCCAGGCCUGCCAUGACGUUAAUAGACUGAACCCCAGAGCCUUCAAAUAAUUUAUUAGCACAUAGAACCCUCCAGAAAAAUAUUGCCUUGUGGUCUGUUGGGCAGCAGCAAAGGCAGCACCUGAAUGUGGCCAUCAUCUUCAGUGUGAACUUCUAAGUCCUAGCCCAGAGUAGCUGUCACUGCCUGGUACUUCUACCCGACCUCAUGAGCCAGACGCCCCAGCAGAGAGAGAACACACUGUUUCCUUUCUGAGAACGAUGACUAGAGAGAACAAGACUCAUGGUAUCAGGAGAGGUGCUGGGAGCUUCUGUCCAACGGUUGCUAUGGAGAAAGACAUUCGGAAUCUUGGCUCUGGUGGAUGAUCCACAUCUGUGCUCUUAACUCACUUCUUGAAAUUGAAACUCAAGUACAGUAACUGUGACCUAGUACAUGUGUCUCUAAUAUCUAGCCAUAUUUUUCCAAACAAUUCUUCCCAAACUUGGAUUGGUACUAAGUCCUCACAAGGCAGUUUAGUAAUAACUAUAAAUACUUACCAUAACUACAAAUAGC